AAAAGUUAUGUAGUCCUGAAUCAAGACUGAUUAAUCAAGAACUCGUCAGAUAUUAAAAUACUCCAAUCUGACGGUUACAAUAUACAGCACACACAAUCAUUUUGUAUCGGUUACAGCCCUACGGGUCAAAUUGAAUUGUAGAAUUAUUUAUAUUGGUUGAGUUAAACCUAGGUUCUUAAAACCAAAUCUAGGCAAUUAAACCAUUUUCUUAUUCGGUAAAACUAAUUUUUACUGCAAAGAUACUGAACAUGGGCUCCACAAAAUGUGACAUCACUCGAAGUAGCAUCGAUCCCAUGGGGCUGGAGAGUUAAGACUCACGCGCCAACGUAUGACGGCGCUGAACCGUUAAAACUCAUUUUCUUAUUUGUCAAGGUACCGUAUGAAGUAUGAACAAUAUCAUCAAACAGUUAGGUUGAACAACACAAAAUAGUAAUAUGUAGGAUACUUUUCUUUGUUUCGACAGAAUAUAUACAUAAAUAGGGUAGUUAUUUACUUAUAUAUGUGUAUUAGUGUAUAUAUAAGUAUAUUGAAAGAAAAAGUUGAUAUGAAAAAACAAAAAGUAUAUGUAAAUAAGCAGCUAUAUAAUUGAUUGGGAUAAGUCAAGUCAACUGGACUACAAAUUAACAAAUAUAAUGAAUUUCAUUAAUACAAGCAGACUCCAUGAUUUACGUUUUAUUCAAUGGUCGCGACGAUAAUUAACUUAGCGUUUGCAAUAAGUUAAUUGAUGUAACCAUCACGCAUUACACCAAUUUAUUACAUUCUUUAAUUUAUAUUCCUAAUCAACAAGAUUCAUAUUUUCAUUCAUAUGCAAUGAAAGCUACCUGUUGCAAAUCCGAAUGUUUUGCACUGUUAAAAUUACAAAGAUUCAUGUUUACAAAUCCAUGUAAAUCAUUUCUCAAACAAACAAAAAAAUCCAUGUAAAUCAUUUAAACGAUUACAUUCAAAGUAGUCUUGCUUUUAUAAAAACAACUUCUGUUUGAUGUUUUAUUUAUCAAACAGAUCAACGAACAAGAAGACUCUGUAAUCAUCUUUAUCUUGUGGCUGAACGUUCUUGUCUUUUCUAUUCCUUUCAAAAAAAAUUGGAAUAAGGUCGACAAGCACUUUCAAGUUUUCAAUUAUAAGAUAUUCAUCCAGAAGAUAUUCACAAUCAACGUCGAUCGAGUCUGUUGGAAUCAAGCUCGGCAAAUUUAAUUAUCUAGCCAAGUAAUCGGGAAUUACAUAUAUUUUGUUCCAUUGACGUAUUUUACUCUAUGUACACUCUUACAUAUUUUCUCCGUUUCUUUACAUAUGAUGUUUUAAAUGAUAUAUAUUUUUGUUUCAGUUUGUAUGAUAUUUGAAACUUAAAGUAAUUGAUUAAAAUAUUAAAAGUUAUUCUAUAUUUUUUUUUGCUUAUUUAUUUAGAAUAGCAAUAAUUAAUUAUUUUUGUUACUUCUAAAAAGUUUAGGCUUCAGUGUAUAGAGCGUUUAAUGUAAAACUCAAAAUUUUCAUAGGGUUAACAUAUAGAUUUUGAAAAAAAAUCAAAAAUAUAACAAUAUUGUUUUAAUACAUAGUUGUCUCUUUUACUAGUAUAAAGUGAUGGUCAAAGAGGUUUGAAACCUUUGUUAUCUACAUUUCUCUAGAAAAUAUCAAUUUUAUAAUGGUUAGUCCACUAAUUAAGGGAAUAUAUGAAAUUUUACUAAAUUAAUUAUUAAAAAAAUUGAACGAUGCUCAUGUACCAUGAAAGAGGGUUUAGCAUACAUUAAUACAAAUCUAGAAUGUAGUUAAAUUUUUUAAAACAACACUAAAGAUUAUAAGGUUCACUAUAUAAAGCAUUUACCAAAAUUCAAUAUUUUGGUAGAGACACAUAGAUUUUGAGAAAUUUUUUAAAAAAUAUGACAAUAUUGUUUUAAUGCAUAGUUGCAUCCUGCAGUAAUAUAUGAUGAUAUUGAAAGAGGUUUACAGCCUUUGUUGUCUCCGUUUUAAAAGAAAAUAGCAAUUUUGUAGUGGUUAUUCCACUGAUUUAGAUAGUAUUAUGUAGUUUAACUAAUCAACUGAUAAAAAUUAGAACUAUUCCCAUAUACAAUAAAACAGACUUUAAUAUACAUUCAUACAAAUUUAGAAUGUCGUUAUAAAAUUUAGAACAACAAUAAAAAGUAUAAGUUUCAAUAUAUAGAGCGUUUAACGUAAAACUCAAUAUUUUUGUAGGGGUUAACACAUAGAUUUUGAGAAAAAUUCAAAAAAUAAACAAUAUUACUUUAAUGCAAAGUUGCCUCAUGUACUAAUAUAUUAUGAUGUCAAAGAGGUUUGGAACCUUUGUUGUUUCCAUUUCUCUAGGGAAUAACGAUUUUAUAAUGGUUAAUCCAGUAGUUUAGGGAGUAUAUGAAAUUUUACUAAAUUUUUUUAUAAAAAAAAAUUAAACGAUGAUCAUGUACCAUAAAAGAGAGUUUAACAUACAUUAAUAAAAAUUUAGAAUGUGAUUAGAAAUUUUAAAACAACACUAAAGAUUAUAGGUUUCAAUAUAUAAAUCAUUUACCAAAAUUCAAUAUUUUUUGUAGAUGUUAACACAUAGAUUUUGAGAAAAUUUCAGACAAAUAUGAAAAUAUUGUUUUAAUGCAUACUUGCAUCAUGCACUAACAUAUGAUGAUAUUAAAAGAGGUUUGGAGACUUUGCUUUCUCUAUUUUUCAAGAAAA